UACGAAGGGGGCUAGCGUUGUUCGGAUUUAUUGGGCGUAAAGAGCGUGUAGGCGGCUCGAUCAGUCCGCUGUAAAAGUCCAGGGCUCAACCCUGGGAUGCCGGUGGAUACUGUCGAGCUAGAGUCCGGAAGAGGCGAGUGGAAUUCCUGGUGUAGCGGUGAAAUGCGCAGAUAUCAGGAGGAACACCAAUGGCGAAGGCAGCUCGCUGGGACGGUACUGACGCUGAGACGCGAAAGCGUGGGGAGCAAACAGG
rnacentral:rRNA from 1 species